ACAGAGCAGGCCUAGUAAGAUUGGUUCUGAGAAACUGUAACAUUUCUGGAGAGAUUCCUCCAUACGUCUGGACAAUGCAAAACCUUGAAAUGUUGGAUGUCAGUUUUAACAAGUUAGCAGGGAAAAUUCCAGCCACAUUGAACUUAGAGCGUUUGAGAUUCCUGUAAGUA